GCAAGGCGUGCGUGUGAGUGUGCAAGGGGGGUGAGUGUGCAAGGCAUGUGCGUGUCCCAGGCAUGCGUGUGAGUGUGCAAGGCGUGUGCAUGUCCCAGCCCGUGAGCGUGCAAGGCGUGCACGUGAGUGUGCAAGGUGUGUGAGUGUGCAAGGUGUGUGCAUGUCCCAGGCCUGUGAGUGUGCAAGGUGUGCAUGUAAGUGUGCAAGGCAUAUGCAUGUCCCAGGCAUGCACGUGAGCGUGCAAGGCGUGUGCAUGUGAGUGUGCAAGGGGCGUGUGCAAGGCUGGAGGCGUGUGCAUGCAUGUGAGGCGUGUGCCAGGCAUGGGUGAGUGUGCAAGGUGCGUGCGUGUGCACGGCUGGAGGCGUGUGCACACGUGUGAGGUGUGUGCCAGGCGUGUGUGUGCACGUGAGUGUGCAAGGUGCGUGCGUGCGUGAGGCUGGAGGUGUGUGCAUGCGUGUGCAAGGCAUGUG